GACGAACGCUGGCGGCGUGCUUAACACAUGCAAGUCGAACGGAAAGGCCCUGCUUUUGUGGUGUGCUCGAGUGGCGAACGGGUGAGUAACACGUGAGUAACCUGCCCUUGACUUUGGUAUAACUUCAGGAAACUGUGUCUAAUACCGGAUAGGAGCUCCUUCUGCAUGGUGGGGGUUGGAUAGUUUCGGCGGUUGGGGAUGGACUCGCGGCUUAUCAGCUUGUUGGUGGGGUAGUGGCUUACCAAGGCUUUGACGGGUAGCCGGCCUGAGAGGGUGACCGGCCAAAUUGGGACUGAGAGACGGCCAAGACUCCUACGGGAGGAAGAAGUGGGGAAUAUGGCAAAAUGGGCGGAAGCCGGAUGAAGCAACGCCGCGUGCGGGAGGACGGCCUUCGGGUUGUAAACCGCUUUCGCCGGUGACGAAGCGUGAGUGACGGUAAUGGGUAAAGAAGCACCGGCUAACUACGUG
rnacentral:rRNA from 1 species